GUUUUCUCUCUCUUCCCCCCCUCUCUCUCUCUCUCUCGUACGCUCUCCCUCUUUCUCAUCAUCCCACAGUUUCAUCUCUCUCAAUCCCCAUCUCAUCCUUCACCAUAACAUCCACACCACAACCUCCACCACCAUCUACGAAUCAAUCAAUCGUCAUGAGAGUGAGGGAGUGGCCGAGUGAGAGAAGAUUUACCGGCGGGAGAGAAGUUCUGGUGAGGAGGAGUUCCGGCCGAGAGAGUUCUUGUGGCCGUUUGUGGUGACACGGCGGCGCUCGGCAACGGCGGCGACGAAGCUUCUUGCUCCUUCUUUCCUCUGAUUACCUUUAGCAUUCUAUUUGUCAUUGUAAUUGCAUUUGUAUCAGAUGGUUUGAGUACAGUGCCGGACAAAGCAUCUGUCCUUUCUUCAAACACAUCCUUCAGCCAUGAAUUUCACGAACAUGGGGAUCAGAUAAUAAAGAAUUGCUUCAGAGGGAAGUUGGUUUUUGGUGGUUAUUCAGUUUCAGAUCAAAAUCACCGGAAAAGCCAGUCGCGCCACCACCACAAAAGCUUUCUCUAUGCUACAGACAGGAGGGUUUAGAGCAAAAAGUAAAGAUUCUGGAAAGCAAUUUGAGUUCUUUUAGUGAGAAAGAGAAAAAAGAAGUAUCUGGAUUUGAAUAGAACAGUUUUUGGUGAAUGUGAAGAUGGCUAUUGUGCACUAUCAAAAUUUGUUAUCUUUCUCGCUUUCUUUUGGCAUACCUGGCAACGGGAAUGAAUGGCAUGGAGCACACACAACAACGGUAGCAGCCUCCGAUGUAGAGAUUUAGAAUGAGUUCAUAAAUCGGUUACCAUGCCGCAUCAAUUUCAUUUAUCAUUAAUUAGUUUCAUUUGCGCUUCAUCGUUUAUCAACUAUCGGUUAGAAAGAUCUGAUCUACAGGUUGUUACUGUUGUUAUUGGAGUUUUCUAUGAAUUUAGUUCCAAGGAACCGAGGCCGUAUCUUCAGUUGGCGCCAAAAUUUCAUAGGGUUUUGGUUAAUUCUAAGAAUAAUUGGGUUCUGAUUUUAAUUUUAAUUUUCAUUAUGAUUCAUGAAAUUCUAAUUUUUAUCAAUAAGAAACUGAGGAUGUUAGCAUUGUCUGACCUAAAGCUUCAAUCUUUCUUCUUUGUUGCAGGUUUGUGUAUCUCAUCUCAGCUCCAUAGAAUAUUUCUGGUUCUACUUUAGCUAGAUCUAUCCAUUUUGCUUAGAUAAAGGGUGGAUUUUGAUCUAGCUUGAAGGUUUUGAUCAUCUGUUAUAAGAGAGAGUUCCGACCGAGAGAGUUGCGGUGCUUGGCGAUGGAGGUGAUGAAGCCUUUUUCUCCUUCUUUCCUCCGGUUCGAUCCUUCAUUCGGAUGAUCAUCAACAAUCUAUUGAAGAAGAGAAGGCUUGAUUUGUGGUAUUUCUUUGAUGUUAAUACUCCCAAGAUGAAAAGAGAUCUCAUGAAGCAGCUUUGGCGAAGUGCAAGGAGUUAGAAGAACAAUUGCAAAGAUAUGAACCAUCGUUACAAAUUGCAUCCUGAUGUUCGUCCUUACGCAAUGAUGACCAGGACAGGAUAUAUGGAGUAUGAUCCCAUGAAGCCCCGAGGAAAGCUUCCAGAAAUCUAUGCACGUUCCAUUGGUCAAUACAUGUGAUACGGUUUUUUUGGAGGAUGUUAACAAGAAUCAGAUUCAAGUUGGUGUGCACAAAAAGAGUUCUUCAAAAAUUUAUUUUACUGAUGGCUGGUCAAUACAUAGGUGAUACGGUUUUUCUGGCCAGUGGCGUGAUAUUUGCAAAGUCCACCAUUUGGCUGAGGGUGUAACUGUGAGCUUUGGUGUCACUCAAGCAUCCAACAACAGGAUCAUAUACUUCAAGCUAUCCCCUUACAUUGGCAUACGAACUACUCUCAUUGCUCCUUCAACAUCCAGCAAGCGGAAGAAAUUUUAUGAGACUCAGCAUUUCUAUAUGCUCUAGGAUCCCUACUAUCUUGCUUUAGAACUAUCUUGCUUUUAUUUAUUUCUGAACCUAUGUUGUAAUAUCUCUGCCAAACUUGAUUUUCAUGCUUUUAGGCUUGGCCAUUUUGAGCUUGUGCUGUGCUUGCUCUAUUUUGCUUUAGAACUAUGUUGAUUUUCAUGCUUAAGAGCUUGGCCAUUUCGAACUUGUGUUGUAAUAUUUCUACAAGACUUUAUUUCCCUGCUUUUCAUAGUGCUUGCCCCAAUGCUUGCUCUUUUAUGAUUGA